rnacentral:rRNA from 1 species
UGGGGAAUUUUCCGCAAUGGGCGAAAGCCUGACGGAGCAAGACCGCGUGAGGGAGGAAGGCCUUUGGGUUGUAAACCUCUUUUCUCAGGGAAGAAGCAAGUGACGGUACCUGAGGAAUCAGCCUCGGCUAACUCCGUGCCAGCAGCCGCGGUAAUACGGAGGAGGCAAGCGUUAUCCGGAAUUAUUGGGCGUAAAGCGUCCGCAGGUGGUGAGUCAAGUCCGCUGUUAAAGACCGGGGCUUAACCCUGGAGAGGCAGUAGAAACUGACUGACUAGAGUACGGUAGGGGUAGAGGGAAUUCCCAGUGUAGCGGUGAAAUGCGUAGAGAUUGGGAAGAACACCAGUGGCGAAAGCGCUCUACUGGGCCGUAACUGACACUCACAGGACGAAAGCUAAGGGAGCGAAUGGGAUUAGAUACCCCCGUAGUCC